rnacentral:rRNA from 1 species
UAAUACAGAGGGUGCGAGCGUUAAUCGGAAUUACUGGGCGUAAAGGGCGCGUAGGCGGUUUAUUAAGUUAGAUGUGAAAAUUCUGGGCUUAACCUAGAACGUGCAUUUAAGACUGAUGAGCUAGAGUAUUGUAGAGGGAAGUGGAAUUUCCGGUGUAGCGGUGAAAUGCGUAGAUAUCGGAAAGAACAUCAGUGGCGAAGGCGGCUUCCUGGACAAAUACUGACGCUGAGGCGCGAAAGCAUGGGUAGCAAACAGGAUUAGAUACCCUGGUAGUCCAUGCUGUAAACGAUGAUAACUAGAUGCUGGUAGGUAAAACCUAUGAGUAUCGAAGCAAACGCGAUAAGUUAUCCGCCUGGGGAGUACGGCCGCAAGGCUA